rnacentral:misc_RNA from 1 species
GAGAAGAACGCAGCGAAAUGCGAUAAGUAGUGUGAAUUGCAGAAUUCAGUGAAUCAUCGAAUCUUUGAACGCACAUUGCGCCCCUUGGUAUUCCAUGGGGCAUGCCUGUUCGAGCGUCAUUUGUACCCUCAAGCUUUGCUUGGUGUUGGGUGUUUGUCCCGCGUUGCGCGUGGACUCGCCUUAAAGCGAUUGGCAGCCGGCAUAUUGGCCUUGGAGCGCAGCACAUUUUGCGCUUCUAGUCAUGAAUGUUGGCGUCCAUUAAGCCUAUACAUUUGCUCUUGACCUCGGAUCAGGUAGGGAUACCAGCUGAACUUAAGCAUAUCAAUAAGCGGAGGA